AUUGAACGCUGGCGGCAGGCCUAACACAUGCAAGUCGAGCGGAAGCAGGGAAAUUGCUCCUGGAUACAGCGGCGGACGGGCGAGCAAUGCCUAGGAACAUGCCUGGUUGUGGGGGAUAACGUCCGGACACGGGCGCUCAUACCGCAUAAGCCCAGAGGGCGAACGUGGGGAAUCAUCGGACCUCACGCCAUUAGAUGAGCCUAUGUCGGAUUAGCUAGUUGGCGGGGUAAAGGCCUACCAAGGCGACGAUCCGUAGCUGGUCUGAGAGGAUGAUCAGACACACUGGAACUGAGACACGGUCCAGACUCCUACGGGAGGCAGCAGUGGGGAAUAUUGGACAAUGGGCGAAAGCCUGAUCCAGCCAUGCCGCGUGGGUGAAGAAGGUCUUCGGGUUGUAGAGCACUUUUGUUUGGAAAGAAAAGCAGUAAGUUAAUACCUUGCUGUUCUGACGGUACCAACAGAAUAAGCACCGGCUAACUUCGUG
rnacentral:rRNA from 1 species